GUUCUCCCCUGACCUGUUGGUGCAGGAGUCUGCCCCACCCACUUGAGCACCUAUUUAAUCCAGCUCAGCCAGGGCAGGCAGCCCACCCUAGGGACUGGCCGCAUCCAACAGCAAGCCCUUGGGCAACAUGUGGGUCCACAUAGGCAGGGUGUGUGGGACCUCUGCAGUGGGAAGAACCAGCAGAGGAUUCCAAGGUUUUAAGAGGUGAUGGGACCACAAGACGGAAGGACCCUUUCCAGACACCUAUCAGACUUCAUAUGAGAAAGAAAGAAACUUCUGUUGAGAGACAAGACUGCAAACCUAGCAGAGUGGAGAGCUUAACAUAUCCUGGUUUUCCUGCUGCAAGUGGGGUUGAAAAGCACGCGCAGUGGAUUGAAAAUCACAACUAUCCUGCCAAGCGCAGCAGGCUAGCGUUUCCUGGAAUCUGGUCUUAUUUGGAGCCAUACAAGCUGCUGCUUUCUGAAAGGAGGAAACUGAAAACAACAACAAAAGCAGAAUUUCUCUUUUAUUCCCGACUGGAAGAAAGAAAAUCAGGACCAUGAGCUAUCCACCGCUGAUGUCACGUUUGUCUUUAUACGUGACGAUUCCAUUCACCACACCUCUUCUCCGUUGUGUGGAAGCUCCAUCUUACCUCGUCUGCUUCCACCAAGCCAACUCCAUGCCUUUUAUUCAGGCAAAGGCCUAUGUUUACUCAAUUAUUAGGAAUUAAAGAGGUUUAGAACUGUGAGAACAUUUUUAUUGGGUCAGUUUUUUAUUUUAAUUAAUUUUUUAAGCGUGUUUCUCUUGAGACUUUGUUUUUAAUGUUGUGCCUGUACCUCCGUUUCCCCCCAGGCCUGUUACUUAUAUUGUACGUGAUCCUAUAGCAUGGCGAUUUUUAGUAACACCUCUGCCAGGUUACUGUUUCUUGUUGUAAAUUAGCAUUUCCUUGGUUACUAAAAUCAUUCUUUCUUUUGUUUUCUGGCCACUUGUAUAUCUCUCUUUAUAUCCCUGUUGUUGUGACACGCGUGUCAUAACUUUCAC
rnacentral:lncRNA from 1 species